ACGGAAGGCAGCAGUGGGGAAUAUUGGGCAAUGGGGGAAACCCUGACCCAGCAACGCCGCGUGAAGGAAGAAGGCCUUCGGGUUGUAAACUUCUUUUACCAGGGACGAUAAUGACGGUACCUGGAGAAAAAGCAACGGCUAACUACGUGCCAGCAGCCGCGGUAAUACGUAGGUUGCAAGCGUUGUCCGGAUUUACUGGGUGUAAAGGGCGUGUAGGCGGAGCUGCAAGUCAGAUGUGAAAUCCCGGGGCUCAACCCCGGAACUGCAUUUGAAACUGUAGCCCUGGAGUAUCGGAGAGGCAAGCGGAAUUCCUAGUGUAGCGGUGAAAUGCGUAGAUAUUAGGAGGAACACCAGUGGCGAAGGCGGCUUGCUGGACGACAACUGACGCUGAGGCGCGAAAGCGUGGGGAGCAAACAGGAUUAGAUACCCUGGUA
rnacentral:rRNA from 1 species